rnacentral:rRNA from 1 species
AUUGAACGCUGGCGGCAGGCCUAACACAUGCAAGUCGAACGAGUGGCGGACGGGUGAGUAAUGUCUGGGAAACUGCCCGAUGGAGGGGGAUCACUACUGGAAACGGUAGCUAAUACCGCAUACCAUCAGAUGUGCCCAGAUGGGAUUAGCUAGUUGGUGGUGUAACGGCUCACCAGGGCGACGAUCCCUAGCUGGUCUGAGAGGAUGACCAGCCACACUGGAACUGAGACACGGUCCAGACUACUACGGGAGGCAGCAGUGGGGAAUAUUGCACAAUGGGCGCAAGCAUGAUGCAGCCAUGCCGCGUGUAUGAAGAAGGCCUGCGGGUUGUAAAGUACUUUCAGCGAGGAGGCGUUACUCGCAGAAGAAGCACCGGCUAAAUCCGUGCCAGCCGCGGCGGUAAUAC